rnacentral:rRNA from 1 species
UACAGAGGGUGCGAGCGUUAUUCGGAAUUAUUGGGCGUAAAGGGCGCGUAGGCGGCGAUUCAAGUGACGGGUGAAAUCCCUCGGCUUAACCGAGGAACUGCCUGUCAGACUGGGUUGCUUGAGACCGGGAGAGGCGAGUGGAAUUCCCAGUGUAGCGGUGAAAUGCGUAGAUAUUGGGAGGAACACCGGUGGCGAAGGCGGCUCUCUGGACCGAGACUGACGCUGAGGCGCGAAAGCGUGGGGAGCGAACAGG